CAGUAGCCGCGGGAAUACGGAGGGGGCUAGCGUUGUUCGGAAUUACUGGGCGUAAAGCGCACGUAGGCUGCUUUGUAAGUCAGAGGUGAAAGCCCGGGGCUCAACCCCGGAUGUGCCUUUGAGACUGCAGGGCUAGAACGUCGGAGAGGUGGGUGGAAUUCCGAGUGUAGAGGUGAAAUUCGUAGAUAUUCGGAAGAACACCAGUGGCGAAGGCGGCUCACUGGACGACUGUUGACGCUGAGGUGCGAAAGCGUGGGGAGCAAACAGGAUUAGAGACCCCGGUAGUCCCUGUCUCUUAUAC
rnacentral:rRNA from 1 species